CAGAAAUUCAGUCAUUCUUUGUUUGUGGGAACUGCCCUGGAGAAGGAAGUGAGUGCAAAAGCCCCACAAGCCCUACAAAAGCAGAUGCAGACAGGCUGCAGAGCAGGGAUUGCUGGAUGCAGAGUGGGAGUUCUUUGUUCUUCUGGUGCAUUGAAGCAGUUGCCAUUAGGAUUUUAUUUCGUGAUGCAGUCUCCUGAAUUUCUUCUUGUCGGAGUGCCCUUUGUGGGGAGGGGGCAUCACUUGUGGAAGAAUUCUCAAGUAUCUUGGUUUAGAUAAAAUACAGUAACUAAAGUAUUUUUUAUAAUUUUUAUGGAAAAAGUAGUGUGUAGACUUCCUUUGGAAUAAACUGUACUUCUUUAAAUGUUUGCAAAUCCCUGUGUUGUGUGUGUGUGUCUGUGAGCACUCCUGUGUUUUACAGAACACACUGCAGACUGUAAAUAAAACUACCAGAAAGGUGUUGAAGUCUUGUGGACUGAAUGUACCAUUUAAUGGGAAAGUGAAUAAAUUAUUAACCAGCAGUUGCUAAGUGGAUGCUUCCUGCAAAUAUCUGAAAUCUUUGUGGUGUUUGUGUGCAGGUUUCAGCUGGAGUUGCCCUGGCAUUGCCUCCCAGAGGGGCAGGAUUGCUCCCCAGGAAGUUCUCCAGCCAGAAGUCCCUCUGGAUCCGGAUUAUUUUUUAAAAAAAGUGCUGGAAUUGCCUGUCUGGACGUGUGCUGAGCUCUCGCUGCUGUGGACUGUGCAGCCUCAGUUGCUGCAGGUUCCUGUUCUUCUCACCAGCUCAAAGUACACGUGGGGUUUUUUUGCCCUUCUAUAUAGAGCUGUUGAGUUUGGGUGAUUUUCCUGAAUUGAGGAUAUUGAAGGUCGAGAAGGAAGAUUUGUCUCUUUUUGUGCUUUUCUGUUGUUUUUAGCACCUGCUCAGCAUCUGAACGUGGUUGGAAUACUGGAAACAUAAAAGAAACAUAAAAGGUUUUGGAUUCAGUGCUUAUUUGUGCAAACCCAGUUUUUUUAUCUUUUUUUUUUUUUUUUUUUUUUUUUUUUGAAAGGUCUCCACUGUUCCUCGUAGUUUUAUGUAGAAAAGGUCAUAUGAACAGCAGGGAGCAGUGAGCACUUGGAAGGGGGGGUGCAGGUAGUUCCUUCAGGGUGGGGGAGUGAAUGUGGCCUAGGAACAGCUCUCUGGUCAAGUGAGCAGCAGAGGAACUGAAGGAUGCUCUUCCCCAGCAGAGCUGCUGCUUUGUGCUCUGGGGCAGCGCUGCCGGUGCUGGGCUUCCUCGGGGAAAACAGCUCCUUUGGGAUGUGCUUUGCUGCGAAGGUUUCCCUGAGCUGGGUGUCUGCAAGAGGCAUCGGGAUACCAGUGUCAGGAGUUUUCCAUGGUUUCCAGGCUGUUGUACACAGCACGUUCCAGGCAAUUUGCCAGCGUGAGGCAGCGCAAAAUCGGUGCAAUUGGACUCUGCAAAUGCAGUUCAGGCAGAUGUUGAUCUUUUAACUUUUCCAUUGUAGGUGCGAAUUCUGGGGCAUUUGUGAGUCUGCCUUGACUUGCAGGGAUUGAAGGGUUUAGGUGUGGAGUUGUUUGGCCAGCUUGCUCCAAGGCAUGGUGUACUUCUGGAAGUGCCACACACCUCGCAGGACCGAGGGGCUGCUGGCUGGGUGCUGGUUCUGCUCUGCCCUGGGAACUGGGAGCCCCUGGGAGGGCUGGGGGUGACACCUGGAGAUGGGCUGGGGAAGCCUGGAAUUGUAUCUCAGCACUUUUCUAUGCAGCUCUAUGGACCGGUGUGUGCUGAAUGAAGCGGCUCUUCAGCACAAUAAAUUCAGCAGUUUGGAAAAACCA